AUGGAAGUGGACGGCGGCCGAGGAAUAGUGAGACCGACCAGGGGUGGGCGGUACCCCGUGCAUAUGGCGUGUGCGGCGGCCGCUCCUUCUGCCGACCGCAUGGCGAUGGAAGCUUACGGGCUGGAAUUCCUCCUAGAUCCAGUAGAGUUUCCACUUAGGGAGGGGUCUGCGGACAGUUUGGAACACCCAAAUCCGGUGCCUUUAGCGCUGCUGCCGCGCCCCGAGGUCGAACUCCGGGCCUGGCUGUGGGGGACUGCAACCAUGGGAUAUCCGGAUGUGAGGUUCGGUGAAGGAAGAAUGCUUCACCGACACGGUCUGCACAGUCCACUGGGAAGGUUGAGGCUGGAAAGUGCACCGCCUGAUAGGACCCCCCAGUGCUGCUUAUCAAGGAAGCUGGGCUGGAUGUCUUCUCCAAACUCCCAUGUUGAUCACUUCCAGCCCACACUUGAAAAUGAACAUCGCCUUGUGCAUUGCAAGAAGCUUGACCAUUGUAUUUUUGAUGAUGUUGCUAGUUCGGAUUGGAACGCCUCAGUGCCAUCUUAUGAUCUCGUGUUGGGUCGAAAGAAGGAUAUAAUAACGGAGGCAACACCGGUAGCUGAUCUUGCAGCGCCAAUCAAGAUAAGGGGUGCUGGAAGACCAACAAUGAGUAGGGAGAAGGCGUCCUGUGAGGGUUUGAGUAAGCGGAAAAGGUUCUGCAGUAUCUGUAAACGCCCGGGGCACAAGCAGACUACAUGCCCAGAAAGUGAGGGGACUUGCCGAAGCAGCCUCGCAAGCCAGCAAGAUUCAAGUUGCAUUUUAGGAAAAUUAAGCUUGCAUGAAUAA
rnacentral:rRNA from 1 species